rnacentral:tRNA from 1 species
GCCGCCAUAGCUCGGUCGGUUAGAGCGUGGGUCUAAUAAGCCCAAGGUCGCAGGUUCGACCCCUGCUGGCGGCA